GCCCUCGUGGUGUAAUGGAUAACAUUUUUGUCUUCGGAACAAAAGAUAGGGGUUCGACUCCUCUCGAGGGCACCA
rnacentral:tRNA from 1 species